rnacentral:rRNA from 1 species
AUUGAACGCUGGCGGCAGGCCUAACACAUGCAAGUCGAGCGAGCGGCGGACGGGUGAGUAAUGUAUGGGGACUGCCCGAUAGAGAGGACUAACGACUGGAAACGGUAGCUAAGCCCGCAUACUAUCGGAUAACCCAUAUGGGAUUAGCUAGUAGGGGAGGGAAUGGCUCACCUAGGCGACGAUCCCUAGCUGGGCUGAGAGGAUGAUCAGGCACACGGGGACUGAGAAACGGGCCCGAACCCCACGGAGGCAGCAGGGGGGAAUAGUGCAAAAUGGGGGCAAGCCCUAUGCCGCCCAGCCCGGUGGAUGAAGAAGGCCCUAGGGUUUUAAAGUACUUUCAGGCGGGAGGCGUUACCGACAGAAGAAGCACCGGCUAACUCCGUGCCAGCAGCCGCGGUAAUAC